GACGAACGCUGGCGGCGUGCCUAACACAUGCAAGUCGAACGAGUGGCGGACGGGUGAGUAAUGUCUGGGAAACUGCCCGAUGGAGGGGGAUAACUACGGGAAACGGUAGCUAAUACCGCAUACCAUCGGAGGUGCCCAGAUGGGAUUAGCUAGGGGGGGGGGUAACGGCUCACCUAGGCGACGAUCCCUAGCUGGUCUGAGAGGAUGACCAGCCACCCUGGAACUGAGACACGGUCCAGACUCCUACGGGAGGCAGCAUUGGGGAAUAUUGCACAAUGGGCGCAAGCCUGAUGCAGCCAUGCCGCGUGUAUGAAGAAGGCCUUCGGGUUGUAAAGUACUUUCAGCGAGGAGGCGUUACUCGCAGAAGAAGCACCGGCUAACUCCGUGCCAGCUGCCGCGGUAAUUC
rnacentral:rRNA from 1 species